rnacentral:tRNA from 1 species
UAGAAUAUGGUGUAGCGUAGGUAGCACAAAGAAUUUUGAAUUCUUAGGGGUAGGUUCGAUUCCUACAAUUCUAG